GGGAAUCUGACAGGCGCCACCCCUUUUGUCGGUUUGUCCCAGAAAGGCUUUUUGUUCGCCCAAAUAAUUCCACCUCACCCACUUGCAUUUUUUUCUAGCGUGAUGCAGGGUCUCACUAUAAAGCCCUGGCUGGCCAUGAAGAUGAAGUCGGCUUCAAACUCACAGAGAUCCACUUGCCUGUGUCCUAAAGUGUGGGUAAACUGCAUGUCUGGCAGCAAACUGGCUGGUGAGCUGUGGCCUACUUGUCUAUGAAUCAUUCCUGAUUGAGCAGGCCCAAAAGUUGCAGGGGCAACCGACAGCUGAUUAGCAGCCUCGAGCCUGCAUCCAGGGUGCUGAUGAAAGGCUGUUGGAGGUUGUAAGCUAUAGGAGCGCAGAGAUGGGGUUGUACUCCCACAGAUGCUUUUCAGGACCACACGGAAUAGAUCCGCAAUGUAUUUAUGAUGAUAACGAGUCACAGAGUUCAAUGGCACUCCGUCUGAAUAAGUAACAUUCUUAUGAAAUUUCAAGCCCAGGGUCGGCUCAACGACUGCCUAGAAUAUCAAGACACUGGUGAAGGCCAGGAAGCAAUGUUCAAUCUAACUUAGCUAACUGUCAAAUCAUUCCUUGGGGGCACCUAUAAUAAAACAAUGCCGAAGGUAAGCAUGCAGAACCCUUUACCACUAUCACAAGGACCAAUCUGGACCACAGCCAUGUUAUGGGACACCAAAGACUCCAGGUGACCAGUUUCCGUGAAACUUUUUGCCUCAGGACUGCGGCCAAGCUUUUGGACUUGUCAUGCAGACUUCCCUGGAGUGGGUGUGGCAUUCUGAACCAUACUUUCUCGGUUUUUUGAAUGCUGGAAUCAUGGGUUGUGCCACUAUACCCAUUUAAUAAGGAUUUCUGAAGCCUGUGGCUGUCCGUUGGAAAGGGCGCUGUGACCUGCAGAACCAACCACUGCACUUCUGCACUUGAGUCAUCUGCCCAUGUUAGUUCUGUGAAAACAAGCCACGCAACUAUCCGGGACCAUGUGUCUCAUCUUAAAUUUCUCCAAUUUACCUUAAUUAAGUUUCCUCGGUAGAUUUUCUUAUGAAGAAGAUAAUGUUCAGGCUGUCUAAAGUCUAGUCUUCAUAUCAAUUAAAUAUUAAAUGUCAUCUCUCUCAUUCUAAGUGAAUAACUAGUUAUUCAGCUUCCUCAAGCAACUUCUUCAACAUUUUGGUGAAAUCAGUUUGCCAAGACCUGGUCAGUCCUUGUGAGCUGAGGACAUUUGGGUUCCUCACGUCGAGAAACUAGACAGACCUAGGAGAUAAAAUAUAUCAGCACACCCAGAUCUGUAAAAAAAAAUCCAUGUCGGAUGCUGACUGCAAAUGUAACCCAUGGUGUGAAGUUUCAAUGACCACAACAAAGCGAUCUGCUAAGAGGCCUUUUUCUAAAAACUGCUUUUCUUUGACCUGAUGUACAACCUGGCUUACUAAGGUAUCAGUCGGUGGGGUUGAGGGAUAGAUAGUAAGAGGCAUUUUAGUAUUGUCCAGGUACACAUUAUUGUAUGUUGUUUUUUGUUGUUAUGAUAGAUUGCCAGAU